UACGUAGGGUGCAAGCGUUAAUCGGAAUUACUGGGCGUAAAGCGUGCGCAGGCGGUGAUGUAAGACAGGUGUGAAAUCCCCGGGCUUAACCUGGGAACUGCAUUUGUGACUGCAUCGCUGGAGUGCGGCAGAGGGGGAUGGAAUUCCGCGUGUAGCAGUGAAAUGCGUAGAUAUGCGGAGGAACACCGAUGGCGAAGGCAAUCCCCUGGGCCUGCACUGACGCUCAUGCACGAAAGCGUGGGGGAGCAAACAGG
rnacentral:rRNA from 1 species